rnacentral:SRP_RNA from 1 species
UCACUGUAAUGGUCGGUGGCGGAACUGGUGGUCCCGGAAUAUCCUGCCUGGGUUCGAACCCUGCGGCGGGACGAGUUUGUGUUAAAGGCGUCUGUCCGACAUGACGUUUGCAGCUCGACGAGGCUUCAACCAAUAACGAGUUUUGACGUGCCCUGGUACUUAUCGAUCCUUGCGGGCUGUCUAGGGUUCAAUGCGAGAAGUCCAUUGAAUGCCUAGUUACGGCAAUGUUAGACGUGGGUGACACAGCUUGCUGUGUCUAACCCGUCUCUCGUGCUUCUAAUCGCUGAAGGGGAGUUUAAUCCAGCACAGCAGAAGCAACCCGUGAUGGAGGCGACUGGGAUGACACUUGUCCUCGGUGGUAAUCCAUGAUUACCAAACUUGGUGGGUCUUGAUCCGUUCCAUUGGAAUGUGGACCAUCUGGAACCGCACCAAUU